GCAAGUCAUGACCACUAGGGUGUCCUUUAAAAGAGAUGCUCUUUAAAUAUUUGUUCACUGUGUAUUUAGAGUAGAGGCUGAGAAUUUCAUGAGGGAAAGAGGAAAGGGACCAUCGCUCUGGAUAGUUAGACUGAAAUGGAGCUCAGGACCUCCUCUUAGCUCAGAAAAAAAUAUCUAUCAAGCAUUGACUAUGUGCCAGGUACUUUCUAGACAUUCGAGACAUACCGGUGAAUAAAACAAGCAGAGAUCGCUGCCUUCAUUGAGUUUAUAUUCUUGUGAACAGAAACAGACAAUAAACAAACAAAGAGUAAAUUAAGGAAUGCAUUAUAGCUGUUAAAGCAAUCUUAAGGGAAAUCCGAAGCUUCCACUGCAGCACCAUGCUUAGAAGUUCCUGUUUUCUUCAAUGUCAAAUAGCAGUGAAAAUAAAAAAUCUCCCACUUCCAGUUCUAGGAGAAUAUUAGGCUGCACAGAUCCAGAGACUAACUUCUGGAGUUCCAGGGAAGUGCUGAACCAGAUGUCCUGGUGCAUGAGGCCUGGUUUCUCUACGACAGCAAAAUUUAGAAUCUGCAAAGUGGACACCAGCCUAACCUGUAACAUAGAAGGUCCUUGCCCUCAUGGAGUUCACGGAACUUGGAUAUAGAAAGAUGGACUUCUAGAUUAGCCUCCUGAAGGGUCCAAAAGAGUGAAGUCCAUCAAACAUGGAUGCAUAAGGUAGAGGAAAAGAGUGACACAGAAUCCGUUACAUGAUGCUGCUGAGCAAGAAUUUUCAGUUGAUGAGAAUUACAUAUUAAAUAUGAAGCCCUUCAGGAAUCUGUUUCUUUCUAUCAGUGCGGUCUACCUUGUUGAUUUUUUAACAAAAUUGAGACCAGGAUCAUCUAAAAAGUCUUCAAGUUUAAAAAAAUAUGGAAGACUAUAGAGUAUGGAAAGAGCACUGGAGGAGGAG
rnacentral:lncRNA from 1 species